ensembl:lncRNA
AUGAGCCUUUAAAGAUGUCUUAAAAUAGAGCAGAAAGACUUUAUUAAUACUGUAUCAGAGGCUCACAGGUUCACCAGCGCCUCUUCUUUCUCAGGACACUGAAGAAGAACCAGCUGUCUUCAGCCAUCCUGGUGAACUUCUACCGGUGUGCGAUCGAGAGCAUCCUGACCAGUUGCAUCACAGUCUGGUAUGGGAACUGCUCAGUUGCUGACUGCAAGGCACUGCAGAGGGUGGUGAAAACUGCCCAACGCAUCACAGGGACACCACUUCCUGCUAUUGAGGACAUCCAGAGAAAACGCUGUCUACGUCGAGCUAGCAGCAUUCUUAAAAACCAUAUUUAAUUAAAAAUAGAGGGUGAGACAGAUUUCUUCUUUCAACUUAAACCUCUCAUUUGAAGAAUGGCGAUGCUUGCCCAAUGAAGACUUUGACUCACGGAAAAAAAAAAAAUCAUGGGUAAUUUUAUUUAUCCCCAAUUUAUUAUUAGUCAUAUUAUAUAUUUUAUUUAAAUUCUUUUAUACAACCAUCAGAUUGUAUGUGCAAGCACACACAUAUUGUGAUGUCAUGAUCUGAUAGAAUUGUCUACUUAUUGACCAAUAUCUUUCUCCCAUCACCAUAGAGUGAGAGAGAGAGCAAAAAUCCCCUGACUUGGAAUGCAACCAGACAAGUGGACCCCAGAUGAGACAAAUCUAAAGAGAACAGUCUUUUCUUGCCAAACUGUUUGGAUAUUAUAAGCAAAAAGAGCCAUUUUUUCAUAUCUUCGUACUGUGCAGGUAACCUCAGGUCAUGGGUCAUGUCAAACACCAAACUCCAGUCUGAAGUUUGUAUUAAUUUUAGUGAAAAUCAGAGGAACCAUCUAGGACAAGUUCAAAAAAGUAGUCUUUUACAUAAUAUCAAAUAUUUAAAAGAUUAGAAAGAUUUGAUUGAUAGCAGUACUUCUUGAGCCAAAGUUGUUCAUAAUGAGGAACUCUGACAUAUGAUUUCAUGAUCUCUACCUUUUUUGAUUGCUAUAGUGCCCCCUAUUUGCUGAUUGGAGUCUUUUGCUGUGUCCGAAAGCUGAAAAAAUGCUGUCUUCAGAGAAUGCAUUCCAAGGUAAUAAGGCAUCAGGCAGGUCCAAAUCAAUGUUAACUUCAAUUCCUGUCUCCUGAGAUACCUUCAUCUGAUGGGUUUUUGAAGGCAGCAUAGAUGUAUCACUUUCUACCUUUGAGAUCCCAUAAUCCUGUGUGUUCUACUCUGUGACAGCUUAGCAAAAAAUAAAAAUGGUGCCUGAAAGUUUUGGUUGGUGGUC